CCUGGCUCAGAUUGAACGCUGGCGGCAGGCCUAACACAUGCAAGUCGAGCGGAUGAAGGGAGCUUGCUCCUGGAUUCAGCGGCGGACGGGUGAGUAAUGCCUAGGAAUCUGCCUGGUAGUGGGGGAUAACGUCCGGAAACGGGCGCUAAUACCGCAUACGUCCUGAGGGAGAAAGUGGGGGAUCUUCGGACCUCACGCUAUCAGAUGAGCCUAGGUCGGAUUAGCUAGUUGGUGGGGUAAAGGCCUACCAAGGCGACGAUCCGUAACUGGUCUGAGAGGAUGAUCAGUCACACUGGAACUGAGACACGGUCCAGACUCCUACGGGAGGCAGCAGUGGGGAAUAUUGGACAAUGGGCGAAAGCCUGAUCCAGCCAUGCCGCGUGUGUGAAGAAGGUCUUCGGAUUGUAAAGCACUUUAAGUUGGGAGGAAGGGCAGUAAGUUAAUACCUUGCUGUUUUGACGUUACCAACAGAAUAA
rnacentral:rRNA from 1 species